rnacentral:rRNA from 1 species
GUAGUCCAUGCCGUAAACGUUGUAUACUUGAUGUAGCUGGGCUCAACCCUGGCUGUGUCGAAGCUAACGCGAUAAGUAUACCGCCUGAGGAGUACGCUCGCAAGGGUGAAACUCAAAAGAAUUGACGGGGGCCCGCACAAGCAGUGGAGCAUGUGGUUUAAUUCGAUGCAACGCGAAGAACCUUACCCAGAUUUGAAAUACAGAGGACGAUAGCAGAAAUGUUAUUUCUCGUAAGAGCCUUUGUACAGGUGCUGCAUGGCUGUCGUCAGCUCGUGCCGUGAGGUGUUGGGUUAAGUCCCGCAACGAGCGCAACCCUUAUCAUUAGUUGCCAACACGAAAGGUGGGAACUCUAAUGAGACUGCCUGGGUUAACCAGGA